rnacentral:lncRNA from 1 species
UGUCGCCCAGCCCCGGCUCCCACGUUAAUCUCUGCAGUUUGUGCUUCCGUACAAGCCCUGCACAGUAUUAUAUAAGGGCCCUGGGCCCCUCCGGAUUCCAAACGACAACUGCAUAUGUGUGAUGGCAGCGUCCUUUUGGAGACCAGAAGGGAGAGUGACCGAUCGGACCUGGAGGACUAAGAGGAGGACGUUUCCUGAAGAGCAUCCCGUGCUCCCUGGGCUUCCCGAGGUGCAGCAGGCCUGCAUCAUACACUGGGCAGGGGACUGGAACUUGACUGCAGUACAUCACAGUGAGACUAAAGACACUCACUAAAGAGGACUCCAGAACCACUGCAGAAAGUGACAAGAACUAUACGUACGGAAAUUCCCUGAUAAGCCUUCUUAAAAUGCAAAUGCUUCUGCUGAGAUUCCUCCGUGCAGAGGAGAGGGUGAAGCAGAGGCAGCUGUGUGGUUUGCUGCCCCGUCACGCAUUCCCCUGACUGGACGAGCCGGCUUCCUCACUAUGCACAGCACCCACUUCCAGAGCCCUGACCUGGAUGGGAGGAGACGCUCACAUCAGAAAGUGCCAAUGAAAAGCGCCCUCCUUUAUUUUAUUAGUCUCUAGUGACUCAUGUAAAAUCAUUGCCCCAGAGCAACCUGAUAAGUCAUGAGGCUGGUGUAUCACAGGUACCAGUAACUUGCGAGAUGCCCGAACAUGCAAACCUAAGGACCGAUUUGCCCACACCUGCUCUUUGUUCCCUUUCUUUUAAAGAUCUUUUAAUAUCUUUUUAAAAGCCCCUAUUCUUUUUGUUUGCUUGAUAGCCACAAUAAAGUUACAGUGUAUCUCACUUUUCAUUUGAACUAUUUACAGCAUCCUCCCA